GAUGAACGCUGGCGGCGUGCCUAAUACAUGCAAGUCGAGCGAACAGAUGAGGAGCUUGCUCCUCUGACGUUAGCGGCGGACGGGUGAGUAACACGUGGACAACCUACCUAUAAGACUGGGAUAACUUCGGGAAACAGGAGCUAAUACCGGAUAAUAUAUCGAACUGCAUGGUUCAAUAGUGAAAGUCGGUUUUGCUGUCACUUAUAGAUGGAUCCGCGCCGCAUUAGCUAGUUGGUAAGGUAACGGCUUACCAAGGCAACGAUGCGUAGCCGACCUGAGAGGGUGGUCGGCCACACUGGAACUGAGACACGGUCCAGACUCCUACGGGAGGCAGCAGUAGGGAAUCUUCCGCAAAGGGCGAGAGCCUGACGGAGCAACGCCGCGUGAGUGAUGAAGGUCUUCGGAUCGUAAAACUCUGUUAUUAGGGAAGAACAAAUGUGUAAGUAACUAUGCACGUCUUGACGGUACCUAAACAGAAAGCCACGGCUAACUACGUG
rnacentral:rRNA from 1 species